CAGUCGCCGCGGUAAUACGUAGGGUGCGAGCGUUAAUCGGAAUUGCUGGGCGUAAAGCGUGCGCAGGCGGUUCGUUAAGACAGAUGUGAAAUCCCCGGGCUUAACCUGGGAACUGCAUUUGUGACUGGCGAGCUAGAGUAUGGCAGAGGGGGGUAGAAUUCCACGUGUAGCAGUGAAAUGCGUAGAGAUGUGGAGGAAUACCGCUGGCGAAGGCAGCCCCCUGGGCCAAUACUGACGCUCAUGCACGAAAGCGUGGGGAGCAAACAGGAUUAGAUACCCCCGUAGUCCCUGUCUCUUAUAA
rnacentral:rRNA from 1 species